GGCUCUGUGGCGCAAUGGAUAGCGCGUUGGACUUCUAGGUUGACCGAAGGCAUUCAAAGGUUGUGGGUUCGAGUCCCACCAGAGUCG
rnacentral:tRNA from 1 species